AAAAAAACAACUCAAAGUGAUACAUCACUUCGGACGCUGACGAUCUUCGGCCCUCACCUACAUAGUGUAAUUCGAGACCUUUGCACGAGACUUUACGUAAGAGGGAAGACUGCACGUGCCAGCGAGAAACGUGUUGACCUAUAUAUUAUAUAACUCGACGAUCACGUGGCGACGGUUGGCUCGUAACCCAUUUCAAGCCAAGUCUGCGGCGAAAGUACUGUGUCCCCGUGCACUUUACCAACCCGGAAACAUCCCUACCUGUGAUGUAGGCUACACGUGAAGACGUGCACGACCUCUGCCGGGAGGGAGCGUCGCUGUGACGGCAGCACGGCGCGUAGAGUGGAAACAUUUUUACACGCGGACAACAGUGUGGAGACGGACAGGAAACAGAGGAGAAAUGAAAACAUCUGUAUGAAAUUAGCAAGCUACAGUAAUACUGGAAUACUGAUUGACUCUUCUGGUUCUCUAAACCACCACAGAAGACUCUGUGAAAGAGAACCACCCAACAAUAUUUACAACAUCUAAGGAAACCUUCAGACUUGUUGUGUUUAAUUUUAUUAUUUUAAGCAUUUUAUCAACAAAGAAAACUCAAUGUGAAUGAAUAUGAAUAUAGCCUUUCCCCCCUUCACCCCACAGACAGUUUCCUUCAAGUGUCUACAACAAUAUGUAUGCAGCAUUACACAAAAUAUCACAACAUAGACCUGGCAUAUGGUGGGGGACUUUAAAGUGAAUUCUUGCUUUAAAUUUCUUUUUUUCGGGGGGUUACAUAUUAUUAGCAACGUCACAGUUCUUAAAAGGUGUGAAUGGGCCUUUCACCUGUUUCCUUUAUGUUUGUGUGAACUGAUUUUCUAGAGGGAUAAAUACACCUUUCCCUGCUCUCCGAGUUAGGGAAGUGACCUCUUUCAGUCAUGAAAUAUUCCGUGACACUGCUCUAACUAACAGCACACAGGGUGAGUCGAUAAGCUGGUUUGGUCCAUCAGAAAUGAAUUGUCUGGCGUAACUCAUGAUAAAAGUGAAACAGUCCCUGAACUCUUCUUAACCUCGUGGAGAAAUGAAGUCUAAAUUAUUUAUCUCCCUUUCGGUAAAGUGGCACAGUAAUGGAUUUCAAGUCAUCUUGUACAUAGAACUGUAUGGAUUCUAAAUACAGUGUUUACCCUCAUUGUUCAUCUCCUGGGCGUCUACUUUUGUAGAAAAAGUAGAGUGAUACUAAAUAUCUCUAUUACAACACAGAACAUGUUUGACAUUGAACAAAGGAACACAUCACCUCACAACAAAAAGCACAGACUAUCUACUUCAUGAAAAUGUCACCGUUGUCCCUAGCAGUUGCAGUCGAACAGUCACGCUCACUCGCAAACUCGUCUCUCACGAACAAUCUUAAGUGUUUGGCUGUGAAACAGGACACUCUGAAUAAUCCAGCAUUUUGGCUUUUUCCCAGGUUGUGCCAGUGUGUUCCAGUGAUUAGACACAAAAGGUAAUCUGCAGCAGUAGCCAACAAACAAAAUCCCCCAUCAUGCAUCUGUCCUGCUUCUGUGCUCCAGCAGCAGUCCUGCAGCCUGGUCUUAGCUUUGAUGACAUUUGGAUUUUAGGUCAGAAUUUGGAUUUUUAUAAUGGGGAAAAUACUGGCCAAUCAGGGCUGCCUAUCUGAUGUGAUGCAUUUUGUUUGGCUAUAUGUUUCUGUCAGUAAUUAAAGGGGCACUCCACUGAUCAAGAUAAGUUUACUUGUCAUGGGGAGCACUACUCAGUUCAGUGAUGUCUCCUGUGGCUCUGGGGGUGUUCUCUAAAGUCUGAAACAAAUGACCCUGAUGAUGUCAUAGCAAUGCCGUUAUGAUUAUCUCGACUUAAGUUUAGAAAGUACUGUCCCAAAUAGCCGCCUACCCCCAUUUACUGGCCUGGGGUGGGAACACAUUUUGACAGAUAAAGCCAAGCCUUGAUUAAAUGCCUUGUCCGUUUUUUUAUAGAAGUUCUUUGGAUGUAUAAAACCUCUUAAACCCCACGGGGUCGCCCGCUUUAGCUGCUUCUAAGUUGCUUAGAUCAUUAAUACAAAUAUUUAUGUUUAAACGUAUGGUCAAUAUGUCAGGACAUGCUACACAUCGUUCGAUCGGUUAGAUUUUGUUGCUGCCUUCAAAAUAAAAGCGCAGAUCAAAUGAA